GACGAACGCUGGCGGCGUGCUUAACACAUGCAAGUCGAACGGUGACGGAGAGCUUGCUCUCCUGAUCAGUGGCGAACGGGUGAGUAACACGUGGGCAACCUGUCCCAGACUUCGGGAUAACGCUUCGAAAGAGGUGCUAAUACCGAAUACGAACGCCGUGGGCAUCCACGGUGUUGGAAAGUUUUUCGGUCUGGGAUGGGCCCGCGGCCUAUCAGCUUGUUGGUGAGGUAAUGGCUCACCAAGGCGACGACGGGUAGCCGGCCUGAGAGGGCGACCGGCCACACUGGGACUGAGACACGGCCCAGACUCCUACGGGAGGCAGCAGUGGGGAAUAUUGCGCAAUGGGCGAAAGCCUGACGCAGCAACGCCGCGU
rnacentral:rRNA from 1 species